rnacentral:rRNA from 1 species
UACGAAGGGGGCUAGCGUUGCUCGGAAUCACUGGGCGUAAAGCGCACGUAGGCGGAUUGUUAAGUCAGGGGUGAAAUCCUGGAGCUCAACUCCAGAACUGCCUUUGAUACUGACGGUAUUCGUAGUUCGGGAGAGGUGAGUGGAACUGCGAGUGUAGAGGUGAAAUUCGUAGAUAUUCGCAAGAACACCAGUGGCGAAGGCGGCUCACUGGCCCGAUACUGACGCUG